AUCAUGAGGUUGGAAGUCUGCAGGAGAGAGGUAUUUAAUGCAAAAGGGGAUUAAAUAAAAUAUAAAGUAUAUUUGAGGGUUCAGAAGGAAAAUAUAAUGUAGUGCAAUAUCAUCAUUAUAAGAACAAACAUUGGAAGCCACCUGGCUGUGCUUGAGUCCCCUCUCUAUUGGCUACACAUCUCCACUGUAUGAUCUAAAGCUUGCCACUUAAUCUCUGUCUCUUGCUUCAUCUGUAAAUUGACUAUAGGAAUAGUAUCUAUCUUACAGACAUGUGAAGACCACACAAUGUGUAUUGCUUUGUUACAAAUUACUGCAAAAUUUAGUGGCUUUAAACAAUGAUAAGCAUGUACUAUCUCUUAUAAUUUCUGUGGGACAAGAAGAUGCAUGGGCUUGGCUGGGGAGCCCUGACUCGAGGUCUGUGAUGAUGUGGCAACCAAGAUGAUAGGGCUCUACUGCAUCACUCACUGGCAAGUAGCGCUGGCUAUUGACAGGAGACCUCAGUUCCUCUCGAUGUGGGCCUCUCCCAAACAUGCUGAAGGGUCCUUAUGAUGUCGUGGCUGUGGCUGGCUUUCUCCAGGGCAAAUGAUAGAGAAGAAGAGCUUGGCAGAGGCUACCCUCUUUACGACCUAAUUUCAGAAUCAUCACAUCACUUCUUCCUUAUUCUACCCAGAAGAAUGAAUCAUUCUGUCCAGCCUGCAUUUGAGGGAAGUGGACACAAAAGGAGGUUAAGCUGGACGGAAGUGGCUUGUUCUUCGUCUGGUGGUCAGUGUUCUCAGAACAUCAGGACUGUCACAAGGAAUUGCAGGUGUCAAAUCCUAAUAAAUGUCAAACAAUUUGUUGAUUUCACCAAUUACGUAUCCUGUGUCUCCCCUAGGAGAGUGAGGGUUGGUUUAAAGAAGAGGGUGUAUGGGAAAAGCUGGCUAAGUCUUUGUACAUGUUGGCAAGGCAUAAAGAAGGGCAAAGUUGGCAAGAGACAGAAUAAUAAUUACUACCAUGUUCGGAGUGCCUACUAUAUGCCAGGCAUUUAUAAACAUAAUUUCAUUUAUUCUUUUGCCACUCCAGGGAGUAAGCUGUGCUAUCUCCAGUUUAUAUAUGAGAAGCUGAUGCUCAGAGAAGUUAAGUAA
rnacentral:lncRNA from 1 species